UCAACCGUGGAACUGCAUCGGAAACUGUCAUUCUUGAGUGCAGAAGAGGAGAGUGGAAUUCCAUGUGUAGCGGUGGAAUGCGUAGAUAUAUGGAAGAACACCAGUGGCGAAGGCGGCUCUCUGGUCUGCAACUGACGCUGAGGCUCGAAAGCAUGGGUAGCGAACAGGAUUAGAUACCCUGGUAGUCCAUGCCGUAAACGAUGAGCGCUAGGUGUUGGGGACUUUCCGGUCCUCAGUGCCGCAGCAAACGCAUUAAGCGCUCCGCCUGGGGAGUACGACCGCAAGGUUGAAACUCAAAGGAAUUGACGGGGGCCCGCACAAGCGGUGGAGCAUGUGGUUUAAUUCGAAGCAACGCGAAGAACCUUACCAGGUCUUGAC
rnacentral:rRNA from 1 species